UUAACACGUUCACUGCGGAACAGGCCCAAAUCAGCCUGCCGCGGAAUUUCACCUGGUGCGGACGAAGAAAACUAUGUCCCUCUCGCUGGUGCGGAACGAUUAUCUCAGGUGUUUGUAAAGGUACGACAAAGACAAAUAUAUAUUUGAGAUUGUGGUCAAAAGUAUAGGUGUUCCCUAUAAAAACAUCACGGCAGGCCUUUAUCGGCCUAUCACGCACUGACGGUAAAAAAUAUCAACUCGGUGCGGGAGGAGGCCUAUUGUGGCCCGCCGUCCCAACAGGCUGUUGGCGGCCCGAUACCGCACAGAGCGCCCGCCUCGCCAGUUAGUGUUGGGCAAGCUAUCGGAACUGACGUACGUCACGUUUUUUUUAUUCCUUAAAAUUAAAGGCACGAUGUCAGGCAACAAAAGAAAGAUAAAAAGAUAAAAAAGGUGUUGACUUCAGCGACCAAAUGUCUGCAUAUUAUUCUACAUUAAAAAAAAAGGCCCAAAUGGUUCAGAAAAGUGGGUAUGGAAUAUUUGUUUGGCAUGGCGUUGGUAAACGCUUGGAUUAUAUACAACAUGAAAAAUGAGAAGAAGGUUUCAAAGAAAGAAUUUACAGAAGCAUUAAUACAAUCAAUUACUGGAAAAAAUAUAUGCCCUGAUAGUAAGUAUAACGACGUGCAACAUAACUGUAAUCAUCUUUAGACCUAUGUUGAAGGUGAUUCCUUCUGUUUCGUGUUGACGACGUUCUACCUCUGCAACAGGUAACUAUUGUCAUUAUUUUUUACACAUUACGAGUGCUUAGGUGGCUGUGCAUGGUCUUCGAGCAUGAGCUUUGGUUUGACUCCGUUUAUUUUUCUGCGAGCAAUGUAUGGCGUUUAUUGCACUACUCCUUGUAUUAAGGAAAUCAAGUAACACCUACGGCCGAUCAUAUCCUUGAGAUGAGUGGUAAACGGCGAAAUUGUGUAGGGUGCUAUGAAAAACGUUCCGAGGUGAAAAGGAAAGUAAAAAAAAUUAAAACAUACUGCAGAAUGUGCAAGCAAAAUCUUUGUGCGAAAUGUUUUAAAGACAGCCAUUAAUAAAUAAUUAAAUAAACAAUUUUUAUUUCUUUACUUUAA